AACGAACGCUGGCGGCAUGCCUAACACAUGCAAGUCGAACGAGACCUUCGGGUCUAGUGGUGCAUGGGUCCGUAACGGGUUGGAAACUGCCUUUAGGUUCGGAUUAACUUCCCGAAAGGCGUGCUAAUACCGGCUCAUGUCUCCGGAACAAAGGUUUAUCGCCUUUGGAUGGGCCCGCGUGGGAUUAGCUAGUUGGUAGGGUAAAAGCCUACCAAGGCGACGAUCCAUAGAUGGUUUGAGAGGAUGAUCAGCCACACUGGGACUGAGACACGGCCCAGACUCCUACGGGAGGCAGCAGUGGGGAAUAUUGGACAAUGGGCGAAAGCCUGAUCCGGCAAUGCCGCGUGAGUGAUGAAGGCCUUAGGGUUGUAAAGCUCUUUUACCCGGGAUGAUAAUGACAGUACCGGGAGAAUAAGCUCCGGCUAACUCCGUG
rnacentral:rRNA from 1 species